rnacentral:rRNA from 1 species
AGUGGGGGAUUUUGCACAAUGGGCGCAAGCCUGAUGCAGCGACGCCGCGUGAGGGAUGGAGGCCUUCGGGUUGUGAACCUCUGUCGCCGGUGAUGUAGGCUCUGCUUUGUGGGUGGGGUUGACGGUAGCCGGGGUAUGAAGUGCCGGCUAACUACGUGCCAGCAGCCGCGGUAAUACGUAGGGCGCGAGCGUUGUCCGGAAUUAUUGGGCGUAAAGAGCUCGUAGGCGGCUGGUCGCGUCUGUCGUGAAAUCCUCUGGCUUAACUGGGGGCGUGCGGUGGGUACGGGCCGGCUUGAGUGCGGUAGGGGAGGCUGGAAUUCCUGGUGUAGCGGUGGAAUGCGCAGAUAUCAGGAGGAACACCGGUGGCGAAGGCGGGUCUCUGGGCCGUGUACUGACGCUGAGGAGCGAAAGCGUGGGGAGCGAACAGGAUUAGAUACCCUGGUAGUCCAUGCUGUAAACGUUGGGCACUAGGUGUGGGGGGUCUUUCCGGGUCUUCCGCGCCGUAGCUAACGCAUUAAGUGCCCCGCCUGGGGAGUACGGCCGCAAGGCUAAAACUCAAAGGAAUUGACGGGGGCCCGCACAAGCGGCGGAGCAUGCGGAUUAAUUCGAUGCAACGCGAAGAACCUUACCAAGGCUUGACAUGGGCCGGUGGUUCCCGGAGACGGGAGCGUCCCCUUUUUGUGGGCUGGUUCACAGGUGGUGCAUGGUUGUCGUCAGCUCGUGUCGUGAGAUGUUGGGUUAAGUCCCGCAACGAGCGCAACCCUUGUCUCGUGUUGCCAGCACGUUGUGGUGGGGACUCGCGGGAGACUGCCGGGGUCAACUCGGAGGAGGGUGGGGAUGACGUCAAAUCAUCAUGCCCCUUAUGUCUUGGGCUUCACGCAUGCUACAAUGGCCGGUACAGUGGGUUGCGAUGUCGUGAGGCGGAGCGAAUCCCUGAAAGCCGGUCUCAGUUCGGAUCGGUGUCUGCAACUCGACACCGUGAAGUUGGAGUCGCUAGUAAUCGCAGAUCAGCAACGCUGCGGUGAAUACGUUCUCGGGCCUUGUACACACCGCCCGUCACGUCAUGAAAGUCGGCAACACCCGAAGCCCGUGGCCUUAUGGGGAGCGGUCGAAGGUGGGGCUGGUGAUUGGGACGAAGUCGUAACAAGGUAGCCGUACCGGAAGGUGC